rfam:TPA: Bos taurus chromosome 11, whole genome shotgun sequence.
UCCCUGGUGGCUCAGACGGUAAAGCAUCUGCCUGCAAUGCGGGAGACCCGGGUUCGAUUCCUGGGUCGGGAA